CUGAGGCCUUUAUUCCUGAGGCGGGUGAGACAACGAGCCCACCACGAACCCAGCGGGAGGGAGGAACAACCCCAGGUGCACCUCCUUAAGAGCUGUAACACUCACUGCGAAGGUCUGCGGCUUGACUCCUGAAGCUAGUAAGACCGCCAAGCCACCAGAAGAAAAAAACUGUGAACACGUCUGAACAUCAGAAGGAACGAAUUGCAGACACACCAUCCUUAAGAAUUGUAACACUCACCGCAAGGGUCUGCGGCUUUAUUCUUGAAGUCAGCCAGUGAGACCAAGAACCCACCAAUUCCGGGCACACUGAGACAUCAGACAGGGUCUCUGUCACUCAGACUGGAAUGCAGUGGUGUGAUCAUAGCUCACUCAGCCUCAAACUCCUGGGUUCAAGCAAUUCUCCCACCUCAGCCUCCAAAGUAGCUGGGACCACAGAGUCUCCCUCUGUCGCCCAGGUUCGAGUGCAGUGGCAUGAUCUCAGCUCACUGCAACCUCCACCUCUUGAGUUCAAGUGAUUCUCCUGCCUCCACCUCCGGAGUAGCUGGGACUACAGAUGUGCAGCACCACACCCAGGGAAUUUUUGCAUUUUGUAGUAGAGAUGGGGUUUUGCCAUGUUUGCCAGAUUGGUAUCGAACUUCUGACUUCAAGUGAUCCACCCACCUUGGCCUCCCAAAGUGCUGGGACUACAGGCGUGAGCCACAGUUCCUGGCUGACAACUAUGUAUAAAGUUAAACACAACUAAAAUAACUAAAACUUUUAGGAUAUAUAGAUGGAAUAAAAUUAUAUAAAAGAAAUCAAAGGAAUGACAGAUCUGGAGAUCAGUGUGACAGUUAUCA